UCCUCCCUAUUUAUAAUCGGCCAAGGACCCUCCUUUUUCGACAAAGGCUCCAAUUUCAUCAUGAAAGACGAGUGGAUGCAGUAGGUGAAGUGGAGGAAGUUGGUGGAGCAGGACACAGCGAGGAUGCAUCGAUCGAUGGGUUUAUGGGCUCUAACGCAUCGAUCGAUGCAUUUAAAAGAAAACUUCCGGCGCAUGAUCUCCCAUCGAUCGAUGGGUUUUGAUUGAAAAACCCAUCGAUCAAUGGAUUCUUUUUCUUCCUUUUCUUCGCGUCUCGGUUCGAUCCGUUGUUCGUUCUUUGCUCUAACCCCUUCAGAUGGAUAUGAAAAUCCCUUGAAAUUCCAGUAUGCACAU
rnacentral:lncRNA from 1 species